UGCGCACGGAGGCGGUAGCGCGGGGUGGCAGCCGGCAAUGAGGCGGCCGCGCUACGUGACGAGCUACGGGUCCCCCUUUGUGAUGUUUUGGCAUCGCUCCUUCAUCGCACAUCCUCAGGUACGUCAAUUCACUUCCUUCCCUUCCCUUCGUCCCUCGGUCCCACGCUCGUGGCGCUGAAGUGGUGGCAACAGGCGAUGGCGGUGGUGUCGCUGAUGGCGGCGAGGACAGCAUGUGGCAGCUCCCGAAGCAUGAACACGACCGCACCUCGGGCCUGCCGUCUGCCAAGAUAUGGCUCUGGCCGAUUGACAAUGGAGGUUUGGGAUCCUUCCUCUCAGCACCCACUCCUGGAAGAAUCAGCGGUGCGCCACGCCGAUUGAACCCCGUCGAGAUCACUCGCCAAGAUUGCUAUUCUGAAGUUUAUUGUAAAGAAAGUGAAGAGUGAGACAGGAUCCGUUUAUUUUCAACCGGUUUAUUUCCAUCAAAUUACCCCCACCCCCACGCCCACCCACCGAAACGCGCCCAGCGAACCGGGGAGAGAUCCAUUGAUUUGGCUAAGGUAGGAAAGAAUCUAUUAUUUGUUUGCUAAAGCAAAUUGCAUUAAUGGGAGAGAUCCGUUGAUUUGGCUAAGGUAGGAAAGAAUCUAUUAUUUGUUUGCUAAAGCAAAUUGCAUUAAUGAAAGAGAUCCGUUGAUUUGGCUAAGAUAGGCAAGAAUCUAUUAUUUGUUUUCUAAAUAAAAUUGCAUUAAUGAGAGAGAUUUGUUGAUUUGGCUAAGAUAGGCGGUUUUGAGUAAAGU